rnacentral:rRNA from 1 species
GAGUUUGAUCCUGGCUCAGAUUGAACGCUGGCGGAAUGCUUUACACAUGCAAGUCGAGCGGCAGCGCGGGGCAACCUGGCGGCGAGCGGCGAACGGGUGAGUAAUGCAUCGGAACAUGUCCAUGUCAUGGGGGAUAGCCCGGCGAAAGCCGGAUUAAUACCGCAUACGCCCGAGAGGGGAAAGUGGGGGACCGCAAGGCCUCACGCGAUUGGGUUGGCCGAUGUCCGAUUAGCUAGUUGGCGGGGCAAAGGCCCACCAAGGCGAUGAUCGGUAGCUGGUCUGAGAGGAUGAUCAGCCACACUGGGACUGAGACACGGCCCAGACUCCUACGGGAGGCAGCAGUGGGGAAUUUUGGACAAUGGGGGAAACCUGAUCCAGCCAUUCCGCGUGAGUGAAGAAGGCCUUCGGUUGUAAG